UGUAGGACUCUCCCUGAGUUCUCUCUUCCUUUGGCCGCUUCUAUGAUUAGCAGUAAGUUUCCUUCUAGAAGAAGAAUAUCCUAACCCCAGAGAGCUGGGGCAGCUAUCAAAGCUGUGAUAGGCCGAGCGAUGUCCCUCAGAUGUGUUUCGGGUACCAGAACCCUUGCCUGUGUCAUCUUAAAUGGCACAAGAGGCUCUGAAGACGUGAUGAAGUUAAGCAUCUUAGUUGAAGGUUACCCUGGGUUGUCAAUAGAAGCACAAGGGUUAAUAAAAGAGGAGGGCCCGAGGGUCAGAGAGGAGAAGAAGAUGGGACCAUGGACGCAGAGGUGGAAGGGAUGAGCUGUGAAGAUGCAGAAAGCCACAAAAUAAGGAAUUCAGGGAGCUCGUGCGCGUUGGAAAAUGCCAGAGCCUCCGAGAGGAAUGCAGCUUUGCCAAGACAUUAAUUUUAGACAAUAAAACUCAUUGCAGCCUUCUGAUCUCCAAGAACUGUAAGCCUCCUGCAUUGACCAUUUUGCAAAAUAAUGAUGCUCCUCUUAUCAGCCCAUCUUCUGCCAGUUGGUGAAUUUAUCUGCAUGGAGUCUUUCAGCGCUGAUGUACAGUGGUGGGGUAGAUGAAGCAUUGGUUGUAAUAAGAGCAGCCUUGGUGCAACAGAGAGGAUUUAAAGCACACCAUCCUUAUACCUGUGAAAUAGGUUUUAGGUAUUUUGUCCCAGCAACAAGGGAAUAACUAACACUAGGGGAUUGGAAGGAAUGGGACCAAAGCAAGCCUGAAACCCAGCAAGGAAGCUGAAGCAAGAAAGAAGCUGAAGAUCUGGGAUUAGGAGUUGGUUUUUAAAGUCACAGGUUCGUCUAAGCGGAGUGCAUAGUGCGUAUGUAAACUAAUGUUCCAAGACCACAGCAGGAGUCAUAUGUUGUGUUUGACUUCAACACUACUUGAGAGGAUCUGAACUUCCUUUUUUGUGGCGAAGCUGUUAGUGGAGGAGAUUUCUAGGCUGGUACAGACAUUUUUGACUUUUGUGUUUAUCGUGGCCUGUUCAUCAUCCCUUGAAAUACGGAGCAAAUUAUGAAAAGAAUAUAUAAUAUGAACUGUAUUGAUGUUUUAAGGCAGAAAAGUGUGGAGAAAUCCAAGUGGAGACAGGAAAAAAAAAACACUGGACAGGAAAUAAAAAGUUCAAGGGAGAUACACAAAGGUAACUGAUUACUGAAAGUUAGAGUCCUGCUAUAGUUUGGACAUAAAGUGUACCCAAAGCCCCGUGUGCUACAGGCUUGGCUGCCAUCCUGUGAUGCUGGUGGGAGGUGGGAGAGCUUGAGGAGGCAGAGACUAGCAGAGGGAGGUUAGGUCAUGAGGGUGAGCCCUUUAGUGGGCAUUGAGACUUUCGUCCUUUCUUUUUGGUUCCCAGAUUUCCUGAGGUGCGUACCAAGCUCUGUUUGUGUUCCCAAUCAUGAUGCACUAUUUACAAUAGCACCGAAAUCAAUGGAGGCUACUCGCUGGGAACUAAAACCUCCAUGAGCCAAACUAGACCUUUCUUCCAUUUAAGUUGAUUUUCUCUGGUAUUUUGUCUCAGUUAUGAUAUAGCUACUUUCUCAUUGACCAUAUUCACGAAGGCAUCAUCAAGCCUUGGUUGAGUCACUUAUUCGAAGAUGGGGAAACUUAACCAUCAAAGGUAAGGUGGACAGUAGUUUUCUAGAAGGCAAAAGUGAACUGAUCUUGAAACACGAAGUCUUUGCAUUAGAGGUUAUGAAUAAAUGGUGUGAUUGGAAAAGCCAAGGGAUGAUCUCAGAGUCUGUCUUUCUGCAUUUGUUGAGAUGAUCAUGUGAUUUUUUUUUUUUUAUCGGUACCGAGGAUCUGAACUCAUGACCAAGCGCUUGCAAGGCAGGCACUUAUGCUGCUGGGCUAAAUCCCCAGCCCCAUCAUGUGAUUUUUAUUUUCCUGUUUCUGUGAUGUAGUACAUGUGUUGAUUUAUAUAUUGAGCCAUGUUUUCAUCCCCGGGAUGAAUUCUACUCGAUCAUGAUGUAUGAUCUUUUGGAAGGUUUGUUGCAUUCUGUUUUCCAGAAUCUUGUUGAGGAUUUUCACAUCUAAAAACUUUAAGAGACUGACCUGUGGUUGGUUUUUUUUCUUGGUUGAGUCCUUCACUGGUUUUGGAAUCAAGAUAAUGCUGGCUUCUAGGAAUACUUCUGGAGUGCUCAUUUCCUUUCAUUUUCAUUAAAGAGCUUGAGGAGUAUUAAUGCUGGUUCUUUCCUGAAAUUCUUUUAGAAUUCAGCAGUGAAUCCCUCUGCUCCUGUGCUUUGCUUAGUUGAUAAUUUGUUUGUAACUAGGAAUGCAUUUGUCAUGAGUUUUCCAAUUUAUUGGUGUAUAGGGUUGUGAUUGCUAAUAAUCUAGAUUUCAGCAGUGUCCAUUGUUACUUCAUUUCUGAUUGCAUUGAUUUGGGUCUUUUAUUUCCAUUUUUUUGUAAAUUAGCUAAAGGUUUGUCUAUUUUGUUUAGUCGUUGGAAGAUUUGGAUCUAUGAUUCAUUGAUAAUUUAUAUUGUCUUUUUACUUUCAAAUUCAUCAAUUUCUGCUUCUAUUUUUAUAACUUCCUUCCUUGUGCCCACUUUGGGUUUGGAUUGUUCUUGUUUUUUUAGUCCAGACCUCUGCUGCUCUGUACCAAGGAGAAGCAAUUGUGUAGCCGGCUGGGGUUGGCUGGUGGUUGUGCUGUAGGCAGUGGUGGUGGCUUAUAAAUAUGGAACUUCCAACACUACAAUAUUUGACAAGUUUUGCAUAUAUAUUUCUUCCUAGGAUGAUGAUUGUGGGAAACUUUUAUAAAGCGUUAUAUUGUAAUAAGAGGAAAAGAAAAGGUAAAGUCAGAACAUUAAAGAAAAGUUUAAGAUAUGGUUGUGACAAGAAGUCUUCUGGUAUCUGGAGAACGAUUUGAUGCUUUUGCCACCACCAGCGUUGGCAGUGAAUUUUACGCUGCCAGGAAGCAGGAGAGCCCAGUGCAUACCUUUCUUUCUCAUUUCCAUGGCUCUUCUUUUGAGCCUUUUACAGACUUCUCUUUCCUGAUGAGGUGAAAGGAAAUUAAUGAGAAUAAACCAAAAACUGGCCAGUUUGACUAACGUAAGUUUUUUACAGCAACAUGGAAUUCAAUGCAUCCAAGUUUUCUGUUGUCUCAAGUAUUAGAUAAAGAAGUUUGAAGGUUCACAGUUUGGCGUGAGUUAUGGGACUAUUCCCAGUUAAAUAUGGAAAUAAAUUCAUCAAAUUACAUGGGUGAUCAAAAGAUACAGUGAAUGUUUAAGUUAAAAAAGUUGUUACAGUAAAAGACACACGUCAGGGAUGAUGGGAUAAGGGUGGUCAAAGCGAGAGGGCGUAUUUUGAAGGUGAUUAAUGGGGAUGUGUCUUUUACUGUAACAAAUUUUAAAACUUAAACACUCAGGGGCUGGGGAUUUAGCUCAGCGGCAUAAGUGCCUGCCUUGCAAGCAGGCGGUUGUGAGUUCAAUCCCUGGUACCAAUAAAAAAAACAAAAAACAAAAAACAAAAAAAACCACCUUAAACACUCCUCAUUUUUUGAACUUCUAAAAUUUGUAUUGGUACGUGUUUGCAGUACACAGUAAUUACACUCAACCUGGGGAAUUUCUACGUGAGCAUAAUGCUGAUUAACUGCUUCUGCCUGCCUGCCUCUCCUCUCCCUCUCUCUGGUAGAUCUUUUGUUAAUGGGAAGGGGACCACGCGUCAUACAUGUUUUGAUCACCUCUUGUGUAUCAGCAUUUGUAGUGAUUUCUGUCUAAAAUAUUAUAGUGUGUCCUUCUCUACCUUGCUCACUGGUUCUGGCAUGAAGUGACUUUGAGCUCUUUCUCAGAGUCAGAAUGUUCAUAUGAGGUACGUGUUUUGAAUGAUUCAGGAUAUUAAGGCAGCUGUGACAGCACAAUGAAAGACACUAACAAACAACAUUUUCAGAGGAGACGACACUAAGGCAGCCACAGCAACACAACUAUGGAGGCUCGUGAAAGAUGACUUCCAGAACUACUGAAUAAAGCGGCCAGCAUGCCGAGUUAAUUGUGCUUGAUGAUUAUCAGCUGCAUGAAUUGCAAACAUGUGCGAA